rnacentral:lncRNA from 1 species
CGGGGAUCCAGUCCCGAGCUGUGGGAAGCCAGUCCUGGGCAGUGGGGAGCCAGCCCUGGGCAUGGGAAUCCAGUCCCGAGCUGUGGGGAGCCAGCCCUGGAGAUGGGAUGCAGCCCCAAGGUGUGGGGAGCCCCUGCAGUUGCUGUGCCCGGAGCUGGCCCCCCCCAGGCAGGGAGCCCAGUGCCUGUGCAGCCCCCACAGCCCAGCUCCCUUCUCCCACACAGCGCAGUGGAGGUGGGUGUCUGGGGGCUCCUGUUCCACAAACAAUCUCGGGGAGGCGGACAGCCCUGCAGCUCUGCAGGGAGCUCUCUGAGGGGGAGCAGAGGGAGCAGGGGACUCACUUGGAGCUGGGAGCGGGCAGUGAGGGCAGUGCACGCUGAGGAAGCAGGGUCAGAGAAGCAGGACCUGUCUGGUCACUCCUUUGUCCCCAUGUAGCUGGUCCAGGCAGUUCAGCAACCCUCUCCUCUACUCCAACUCUUCUUCCAGCCCAGCUCCUGGGAAUGCCAGAGGAGCCGGGAGCUGGGGUCUGUCACAGCCCCUGGCGCCAGGCCCGUCAGAGUCCUGGAGUGCAGCAUGCUGGGCUCUGCUGGCCCCAGCUCCUGCUGCCCUUUCCCUGCCUGCUGGUUGGGAGCAGGACACAGCAGUGUGGGCAGCAGCAGGGAGAGCAAAGCACUGAAAUGGGGCACAAGAACUUGGGGCUGCACAGGAGGCGACCACGAGAGGCUGAGCUGCGGGUCAGAGGGGGUGAGAGGGAUGGGGCUGGUCGGAAUCCAUCACAUCAUCCUGGGCUUCCCUUUUGGGGCAUGGGAAGCAGACAGGGAUUGGGCUGUGGGACUCACAGGGAUCAUGGGAUCCCGUUCCCUACUGGGAGGCAGUGCCUGGAGCGCAGGGUGCUGGCCUGUGGGUGGUGAGGGAUGAGGGAUGCUGUGCCACCGCUACCCAGCACAGUGCUCUUCUCCCGUUUGCAGGCAUGGAAGAUGAGCAGUGCCCAGACCAUGGGAUGCUGCUCUGCUCCCUGCCUGCCUCUCCCACAUGGCACCAGUCAGAGGGAGAAUUAAUCACACUUCUGGAUUGUCAAAGGAAUUCUUGGAGCUGUGGGAAGG